UACAUGGGGUGCAAACGUUGCUCGGAAUUAUUGGGCGUAAAGCGCGCGUAGGCGGUUACUUAAGUCGGACGUGAAAGCCCUCGGCUUAACUGAGGAAGUGCACCCGAAACUGAGUAGCUAGAGUACUAAAGAGGGUCGCGGAAUUCCCGGUGUAGAGGUGAAAUUCGUAGAUAUUAGGAAGAACACCGGUGGCGAAGGCGGCCAUCUGGCUCGGUACUGACGCUCAGGUUCGAAAGCGUGGGGAGCAAACAGG
rnacentral:rRNA from 1 species